CAAUAGCGUAUAUUUAAGUUGUUGCAGUUAAAAAGCUCGUAGUUGGAUUUCGGAUGGGAUUUGCCGGUCCGUCGUUACGAUGUGCACUGGCCAGUCCUAUCUUGUUGUCGGGGACUAGCUCCUUGGAUUCACUUCCUGGGACUAGGAGCUGACGAGGUUACUUUGAGUAAAUUAGAGUGUUCAAAGCAAGCCUACGCUCUGAAUACAUUAGCAUGGAAUAACACGAUAGGACUCUGGCUUAUCUUGUUGGUCUGUGAGACCAGAGUAAUGAUUAAGAGGGACAGUCGGGGACAUUCGUAUCUCAUUGUCAGAGGUGAAAUUCUUGGAUUUAUGAAAGACGAACUUCUGCGAAAGCAUUUGUCAAGGAUGUUUUCAUUAA
rnacentral:rRNA from 1 species